rnacentral:rRNA from 1 species
AGGGCACCACCAGGAGUGGAGCCUGCGGCUUAAUUUGACUCAACACGGGGAAACUUACCCGGCCUGGACACUGGAAGGAUUGACAGAUUGAGAGCUCUUUCUUGAUUCAGUGGGUGGUGGUGCAUGGCCGUUCUUAGUUGGUGGAGCGAUUUGUCUGGUUAAUUCCGAUAACGAACGAGACUCUAGCCUAUUAAAUAGGCUCCCGGCUUUUAAACGCCGGGAGGACUUCUUAGAGGGACAGGUGGCGGUUCAGCCGCACGAAAGAGAGCAAUAACAGGUCUGUGAUGCCCUUUGUUGUCCGGGGCCGCACGCGCGCUACACUGAAGAGAUCAGCGUGCUUUACGUUCCUGCUCCGACCGGAGUGGGGAACCCAGUGAACCUUCUUCGUGAUUGGGAUAGAAGAUUGUAAUUAUUCUUCUUGAACGAGGAAUUCCCAGUAAAUGCGAGUCAUAAGCUCGCGUUGAUUACGUCCCUGCCCUUUGUACACGCCGCCCGUCGCUACUACCGAUUGAACGAUUU